rnacentral:tRNA from 1 species
GGGCUUGUGGUCUAGGGGUAUGAUCUUCGUUUCGCACCUGUGAAAGUUCGGAUUCGUCUGAGCGAUCAGUAAUAGUUGCCUAUGAAUGGUCCCGGGUUCAAUUCCCGGCGAGUCCA